UUUGGCAUCCCUAGUGGCAAAUGCAUUGUGAUUUAUGAUUUAUUUGUUUUUAACAAACUGAUUGUGUAUAUCCGUUUUUGUUUCAUAUAGACUUGACUGAAAAUCAGGCACCUUGGGUGCUCUUUACUUCAGCACUCAGCACUUGAUUCUGAUGCUUUUCAUGACUACCAACCUUGACCUGCCACACCUCAGGCUGUUCUUCCAGUUCAUGUAUUUUUACAAACCAGUUCAAGCCUUCCCAAAAUAACAAUGGAACGAUUCAUUUUCAGACUCUGCAUCCACGGAUGACAUGUGGUAGCCCCGCCCCUUUAAACACUGCACAGAGUUUACAACCCUUCAGAACCCUGCACAACAACCUUUCCUACAGGACCCGGCACCAGAACCCUGCACAAGAACCCUCAACUACUACAGAACCUGCACAAGAACCUACCACAGCCCAGCUCAGCUGCUCUGGACUGUUCGGUGGAAGAAGAGGAAGGGAAUGAGGGCUCCCUCCCCUUGUUCACAUAACGUUCCCUCUCAGUGCUAGGCAAUGGUACCUUCUGGAAAUUUUCUGCAUACUCUUCUGUCCCGAAUCACUCUUUUCCCAAAUCCUUUUAUCCUUAACAUCACCCUCUUAAAAAAAUCCAACACUUAUUUCCAUUUAAAUCUUUUUUUUUUUUUGGUGUAAUUAAUUUGAUUCACAUUUCCUUGUGUGUUUGUCUAGUUCAGCUUUUAUUUCUGUGAAGUGCAAUUGUCUUGUACAAAGAAAAGCCUGUAUCAAAUGCAGCUUUAGUUUUAAGUUUAUAAAAAAAGAAAAGAAAAAAAGGCACACCUUUAUUGCCCUGCCUGCUUUUGUUUCCUCUCCAACCGCUAAAGCCCAACACAUCUGCCUCUCAUCUACUUUCCUUUCACGUCUUUGUUUUUUUCCUUUUUUAAACAAAAUAUAACUUUUUGUAUUGUUACUUUUUAAGUGAAACGGGUAAAUGAUAUGGGCUCACAGCACAGUACAGUAAGCUUUUUUGUAAAUCUCACAGCACGGAUGACAGUAAUCGUUAUGUUCUCUCAGUACUACUGUUUUUCUUUUUCUGGUGGGGUGGGUCUUUUAUUUUCGCCCUUUGUUUUUAUUUUUAUUUUCAGAGGAAACCGCUUGAACUUAAACUAAGCUGAAAUUGUGUGCGUGAUUGUGUGUGAGAGAAUGAGUGAGUCUUAUGAGAAAUCAAAGGUUUGCGUUGUGUGUGUGUGUGUGUGUGUGUGUGUGUAAGAGGAUGCAUGUUUGAUCCACCAAACUAUUUCCAUAGUGCAAAUUUUGUGUGUGAUUCUGUUACCUGAUGCGCCAACCCUGAUUCUCUCUCUUAUCAUCAACACUAGGACUCUACAGUGUUCUGCACUACUGCAGCUUCUUGAUUUGUUUUAAGUUGGUCUAGGAGCAUUUUAAAGGAUCUCCUGCACUUGCUGGAAAAAAGUAAUUGUUAAGAAGCACUCAGAACUGGGACAAGCCCUAUGAAGUGCGUUUAUGUGUGUGUUUGGUUGUUAGUGCAUAUGGUCUGAAUGGAUGUGUGAGAUUGCAUGUUUAUUGUGCUUAAAAUUAUGUGGGUUUUAAUGGGGAUAUUUAGGCUUUUGACACAAAUAUAUAAGGCUUUAGCUAUAGUGCUCGAUCACCCAUCUGCACUGCUGAGAGAGUGAUGAGUGAAUGCUUUCUGAGAUUAACACUCAACUCAGAUUUUUCUUCUACUUUAACCAUUCGCUUCAUCUCGUGUUGAUUUAUGUUAUCUGUUAUAUGUUUCUCUCUUUUUUUUGGAUGAGGUGAUUUCUAUCUCUCUCUCUCUCUUUUCAAAGAACAAAUACAGUGUGAUCCAGUGAGCUGGCCUGGUUUAGGCCAGAGCCUGCAUGUGUUCCUCUGAUCAAUAGGGAGCGCAACAGAGUACUGUUUGCUGCUAAAGUGUGUGAUUGAAUCAUUCGUUCAUUCAUUUGAAUGCUCUUAGUUAAUAUUCUCCCACACCUUUUCCCCCAGUGCUGUAUGUACCAUAGUUCUGAAUUAAUUUAAUUGUAUUUCUUUCAGAGAGAUUGUCACUUGUUCAUUUGUCCUGAUUAUCUGAAAGGUGACACGGUAAAAUCACCACCUUCGUCCUUACCUUCCCAAACUAAAUUUUAUGUAUGGAAUAGAUUAUAUGAACAGGAAUUCCCUUGCAUCUUAUAAAUAUAAGUUAGCUUUUUUGUCUAAUCCUGUGUAUUUGCAUACUGAAAAAAGGGUAGGUAAAAAGAUCACUACUUUGAGUCUUUUUCAUGAACCUCACGGGGUGAUUUAUUAAACUAAUAUUGUAACAAAAUGACAAUCUAACAGUGUAUAGCUAAUGUUAACAGAAAAAUCUCCCUGUAUCCUCUAUGCUUUUGGCUUGUGUUAUAACACGGGCAUAAAGAUAGUUGUGUUUGUGUGUGGAAUGGUGAGCUGUGUGUUUUCCCCAGUGGAAGCUGGAAUGUUGUGUAAUAGGAGAUUCACGAAAUGAAUCUAAAAUUAACAGGAUGUUUUAGGAUGGUCUUAGAGGCCAGGAUAUGUUCAUGUGUCUUUAAGCUUUUUUGGAUCCGCAAAGCUACGUGGAAUCACUUUAGGAAUGUAGUCACGAGGAACGACGACUCUUAAUAGGAUUCUGUUGGCUUGCUUAACCCUCAGUUUGGUCUUAUACGGGCUUAAAAAUCACUUGUAUGAAAAUUAACAAAUUAUGUGACUUGUUUUGAAAAAAGCAUUUUGUUGUAUGCAGUUUUGAGAUUCUUGGACUGCUAUUACACAGAUUCUCCUUCUUUGUUUGUAAGACUUCCAGAUGUUUUUUAGAUGGGG